UGUACAUCAUUAAGAGCUCUAGAAGAAGACCCUAAGAUGAGAAAUGCCAGGUGCCCUGAGUCUCCCCUCCUGCCCAUGUCCUCCUCCUCCAUCUGCCCACCAAGUCCCCCACGGUGGACAAAACACACCACUCUUCUUCUUUAUCCCCAUCUACUGCACUGAUCAAAGUUUCUGACAAACUUGAAGGCCAAUUUGAACUGCCGUAAAUUUUUGUUCCCUAAAACUCCUUGUGGCUUUCUACCCAACCUCUCUCUAGCACUUGUUAAACUGAAAAUAAAAAUAAAAUUCCCCUUCCUCUUUAAGUUUGUAUCAACACCCUUGACCUCAUUUUCUCCCUCCAGCUUAAGGGUCCUACUCCACAAAUUUCCCCUCCUUUUUCCAACCAUCAACUCUUUCUUCUCCAUGGACGUUUCUCUCAUCUUACAAACUUGCCCAUUGUGCCUUGUCCUAAAAGCAGACGAAAACCGAUCGAGGACAAUACCAUGCUCCUUCCAAUCUCACUUCUUGAGGCGGUCAGCUUUUCCCCACAACUCAACGUUUUUCCUCAACUUCUCCCCUAAUGAAUUUGGUGAAGGUGGAAUGUACUCUUACUGCAUGACUUUACCAUUUGUGAGGUCAUGCCCUCGUCCAGUCUCUGGAAUCUAGGUUUAUGCACUCAGCAUCUUAACAGACCCGUUCUCUCAAGGAUUAUUCCUUACCUCCUGGGAGCCCGGUAUCUUUGGCCUCUUUCUGGCCUUCAUCCUAUUUGAUCUCUCCACAAUUAAUAUUCGGCACUGCUGGUGAUCCCUCUUUCUAGAGAUUUCCUACUGUUCAUUCUCUGAUGCUCAGUUUUCCUAGUUUUUUCCCCUGAUGUUCAUGUCUUUUUUCUCAGCUUCCUCUUUUUCCUCUUGCUCCUUAAAUGUACGUAUUUCCAGAGAUCUGUGCUUAGCUUAGGUUAUUUUAUAUAAACUCAUUCAAUCUGUGGUUUCAAAGUUGGAUUUUUAUGCUAUCCUUAUCUCCUUCCUCCAAUUCCUCCACCCACUCUGGGUCCCAUCAUUCCACUGAAUGACCCUAAGUUGAGAAAUCCAAUGGGCUCUUCCAGUCCUCGUUUUACUUGACUCCUCCACAGAUUGAGAAAUGUCUCAGUUGGCCAUUCUGUUCCCUACCUUCUGCUUCCUUGACGUGUCAUUCCCUCAUUUCCUUUAAUCUUUCUGGCAUCUUCCCUGCUCUUGUGCAAACCCUUCCUUUUCUGCCCACUCAGUGUUAGAGUUCUUCAAGCCAGUCUCUCCCCUUCCCAGAGGGCUCACUUCUAGCCACAAUGACAUGGAUAUCUGGAAGCCCCACAGAUGGACCCCUCUAGCCUCUACAACAUGCCUGUGUUGUUCAGUAUUAGUACUCUUCUAGCCACCUCUUAUCCAUUCUCAUUGGAGGUGGGGCAUAAAUAAGGAAUUUGUAUUAUUUACCAAAUUAAUGUGACUGAUUUAACAAGCAUGAGCACUGGUUUUUACGAUGGAACAAGAGCUUCUGAGCAUUUCAUCAUUUAACUGUCCAGUACCCCAACUUGUGUAAUAAUGACCACAACUGUACAAGAACACACUCCUGCUUGAUAAAGUCUAUUUUUUAUGGAAGGACGUUUAUAUCUUUGAAAGGUUCGAUCCACAAAGGUUUAAAAGAUUUUGAAGUUCUAGGUAUUCAUCCCCAAUGACUUCACUUUUGGACCAAGUUGGAUAAAAUGAGGUCUUGCUGAAUAUUAUCACACAAAAAUUGGCACAGACCAUAUAGGAGAUAGGAUGCAUAUUUCAUAACUUUCUUUUGAAAGAUUAUAGAUUAUUCAUAUUUAAAAGCAUAAAUUGGUUCAUACCCUGAUUUGUACCGCCAGCAAUUAAGCAGUAAAAAUAUUUCAGUUGAAAUCUAAACAGACUUGGUAUUUUUCAGAAAAACAUACCAAGAAAAUGAAAUCGAUCCCUGGAGUAUGACCUUAACACACAGCUUGAAUGAUAAAAAUGGUGCUGGACUGAACUCCUGUAAGGAUUAUAGCUACCAGACAGUGUGAAUGAGACUCAGAUUGAUGCAAACGUACACUUAUCUAAUGGUAAAUGAUUUGUGAAAAAGCUUCUUCUCUCAAGCUCGUACCAAACAGGACCAGGAAGUGGGCAGAGGAGGAUAGAGAACUGAACUUUUGGUCCUUGGAUCUAAGCCUUAAUCAUCCCGAACGGACUGUGACAGGUCAUCAUACUUUUCUAAGACAGCAGUAUUCCUAUCUGCAAAACGUCAGUAGGAGCUCAACAUGCGGCUUAAACUCAUGACCCUGAGAUCAAGACCCGAGCUGAGAUCAAGAGUUGGAGCUUAACUGUCCCAGCCACCCAGGCACCCAACUGGCCUGAUCAUCUUAAUUGUGUGAAAACUCGAAGGCCUGCUAAUGUUUCAGAUGUUCCCGUACACAAAGUGCCCCUUAGUGUUAGAGGCCAUCUGAAUGGGGAGAUCGGCUGGAUGUCUACUUUCAUCUAGGGAUUGGUUCCACCUUUGCUUUGUAUUCAGGGAAGCUGGAAGAAAAGGAACCUGAAAGAUCUGGAUCCAAGUAUGAAGGAGAAAUGAACAGGUUUCCACUGGGUAUGACCUGUAUUGUUUUUAUGUAACUGUAUUCCCAGAUCCUAGCCCAUCCCUGGACACAUAGUAGGAAUUCAAUAAUUAUCUGCUGACUUCAGGGACACAAAGCUGUAAUUUACAACAUCAAAAGGACAUCUAAACGGUACCUUUACUUAAAACCUCCAUCUUCCUCUUCUUGACCUGAAUCUUAACCACAUUAAAAAACCUAGUUUGAGGGCGCCUAGGUGGCUCAGUUGGUUAAGCGACUGCCUUUGGCUCAGGUCAUGAUCCUGGAGUCCCUGGAUCGAGUCCCGCAUCGGGCUCCCUGCUCGGCAGGGAAUCUGCUUCUCCCUCUGACCCUCCCCCCUCUCAUGUGCUCUCUCUCAUUCUCUCUCUCUCAAAUAAAUAAAAAAAUCUUAAAAAAAAAACCCACCUAG